rnacentral:ncRNA from 1 species
AACGACAAAUGGCAAACCCACUGAAAGGUGGGGACGCAAAGCCACGGGUCUAAGGUGUUGACUCACAACACUAUGACAGCCGGGUUGCCGAA